rnacentral:rRNA from 1 species
GACGAACGCUGGCGGCGUGCUUAACACAUGCAAGUCGAACGGUAAGGCUCCAGCUUGCUGGGGUACACGAGUGGCGAACGGGUGAGUAACACGUGGGUGACCUGCCCUGCACUUCGGGAUAAGCCUGGGAAACUGGGUCUAAUACCGGAUAGGACCAUGGUGUGGAUACUGUGGUGGAAAGUUUUUUCGGUGUGGGAUGGGCCCGCGGCCUAUCAGCUUGUUGGUGGGGUAAUGGCCUACCAAGGCGGCGACGGGUAGCCGGCCUGAGAGGGUGGACGGCCACAUUGGGACUGAGACACGGCCCAGACUCCUACGGGAGGCAGCAGUGGGGAAUAUUGCACAAUGGGCGGAAGCCUGAUGCAGCGACGCCGCGUGGGGGAUGACGGCCUUCGGGUUGUAAACUCCUUUCACCAUCGACGAAGGGUUUCUGACGGUAGACGGAGAAGAAGCACCGGCUAACUACGUG